rnacentral:ncRNA from 16 species
GGGUUCGAAGCAGGCGCUUCGGAGGCAAUUGAAACAGUCGGGCCGCUGUUU